CGGAUUGCGGGCUGCAACCCGCCCGCAUGAAGCCGGAAUCGCUAGUAAUCGCGGAUCAGCACUGCCGCGGUGAAUGUGUUCCUGAGCCUUGUACACACCGCCCGUCAAGCCACCAAAGCGGGGGGCAUCCGAAGUCGUCGGAGCCGCACAGGCAGGCGCCGAAGAUGAGACCCGUGAUGGGGACUAAGUCGUAACAAGGUAACCGUAGGGGAACCUGCGGUUGGAUCACCUCCUUU
rnacentral:rRNA from 1 species